rnacentral:ncRNA from 2 species
UCCCAUACUGGUGAUGAAGCUCACCGUGCUCUUAUGCAGAACCGCCGCAAGGCAAUGCGACUAAUAGCUUCUCCAGACAU